rnacentral:rRNA from 1 species
GCUCAGGAUGAACGCUAGCGGCAGGCUUAACACGAUGCAAGUCGAGGGGCAUCGGGAGUAGCAAUACUGCCGGCGACCGGCGCAAGGGUGCGUAACGCGUGAGCAACAUGCCCGUAUCAGGGGGGAUAAUCCAUGGAAACGUGGUCUAAUACCCCAUAGUAAUUAUGUAAGGCAUCUUAUAUAAUUUAAAGCUUUGGUGGAUACGGAUUGGCUCGCGUGACAUUAGCUGGAUGGUAAGGUAACGGCUUACCAUGGCUACGAUGUCUAGGGGUUCUGAGAGGAAGGUCCCCCACACUGGAACUGAGACACGGUCCAGACUCCUACGGGAGGCAGCAGUGAGGAAUAUUGGACAAUGGAUGGAAAUCUGAUCCAGCCAUGCCGCGUGGCCAGGAAGACGGCCCUAUGGGUUGUAAACUGCUUUUGUAUGGGAGCAAUAAGGGCUACGUGUAGUCCGAUGAGAGUACCAUACGAAUAAGCACCGGCUAACUCCGUGCCAGCCGCGGC